rnacentral:rRNA from 1 species
UCGGACGGGAUUGGAGAGCUUGCUUUCCAUGAGAGUGGCGCACGGGUGCGUAACACGUAUGUAACCUACCUUUAUCAGGGGGAUAGCCUCUCGAAAGAGAGAUUAAGCCCGCAUAAUAUGAAGACACAGCAUUGUGAUUUCAUCAAAUAUUUAUAGGAUAGAGAUGGGCAUGCGGAACAUUAGCUAGUUGGUAAGGUAAUGGCUUACCAAGGCUACGAUGUUUAGGGGAUCUGAGAGGAUGACCCCCCACACUGGUACUGAGACACGGACCAGACUCCUACGGGAGGCAGCAGUAAGGAAUAUUGGUCAAUGGGCGGAAGCCUGAACCAGCCAUGCCGCGUGCAGGAAGACGGCCCUACGGGUUGUAAACUGCUUUU